CGGGCAGGGGAUACCCAUCGUUUACUGUGAAAAAAUUAGAGUGUUUAAAGCAGGCUUAUGCCGUUGAAUAUAUUAGCAUGGAAUAAUAAGAUAGGACUUCGGAACUAUUUUGUUGGUUUGCGUUACGAAGUAAUGAUUAAUAGGGACAGUUGGGGGUAUUCGUAUUUCAUUGUCAGAGGUGAAAUUCUUGGAUUUCUGAAAGACGAACUACUGCGAAAGCAUUUACCAAGGAUGUUUUCAUUAAUCAAGAACGAAAGUUAGGGGAUCGAAGAUGAUUAGAUACCAUCGUAGUCUUAACCAUAAACUAUGCCGACUCAGGAUUGGCGGUUGUUUUUUGACUCCGUCAGCACUGUAUGAGAAAUCAAAGUCUUUGGGUUCCGGGGGGAGUAUGGUCGCAAGGCUGAAACUUAAAGAAAUUGACGGAA
rnacentral:rRNA from 1 species